rnacentral:rRNA from 1 species
AUUGAACGCUGGCGGCAGGCCUAACACAUGCAAGUCGAACGAGUGGCGGACGGGUGAGUAAUGUCUGGGAAACUGCCCGAUGGAGGGGGAUAACUACUGGAAACGGUAGCUAAUACCGCAUACCAUCGGAUGUUCCCAGAUGGGAUUAGCUAGUAGGUGGGGUAACGGCUCACCUAGGCGACGAUCCCUAGCUGGUCUGAGAGGAUGACCAGCCACCCUGGAACGGGGACACGUUCCAGCCUCCUAGGGGGGGCAGCGGUGGGGAAUAUUGCCAAAGGGGCGCAGGCCUGAUGCAGCCAUGCCGCGUGUAUGAAGAAGGCCUUCGGGUUUUAAAGUACUUUCAGCGAGGAGGCGUUACUCGCAGAAGAAGCGCCGGCUAACUCCGUGCCAGCCGCCGCGGUAAUUC